rnacentral:rRNA from 1 species
UACGGAGGAUGCAAGCGUUAUCCGGAAUUACUGGGCGUAAAGAGCUCGUAGGUGGUUUGUCGCGUUGUUCGUGAAAACUCACAGCUCAACUGUGGGCGUGCGGGCGAUACGGGCAGACUGGAGUACUGCAGGGGAGACUGGAAUUCCUGGUGUAGCGGUGGAAUGCGCAGAUAUCAGGAAGAACACCAAUGGCGAAGGCAGCUCUCUGGGACGGUACUGACGCUGAGACGCGAAAGCGUGGGGAGCGAACAGG